ensembl:lincRNA Gm44514 predicted gene 44514
AGGGGCUGGGCUAGUCACCGCAUGGGAAGCAGAAACCAGACACAGACAGAGAGAGCACCCAGAAGAAAUCAGAGCACAGCCAAACUUCUAAUCAGAGGUAAGAUGCAAAAGGAAGGUCCAGCCUUCUGGAGUAUGCAGAAGGUUUGACAAAGGCUGUCGUGGGGCUAAUGAAUGUGAUCAUCCAGAGAUAAAUAAGGAGAAGAAAAGCUAUGGAUUCCUUCAAAAUGAAUGAAAAUCAGAUUUGAUCAGGGGAGACCCCCUGAAGAUCCUGACUGCAGACAUGAAAGAAAUCAAGAAUACCAACAAAACAGACAGGUCAGCUCCAGGCAGCACCCCCAUUCUACUUCAUAGAAGAUGAUGAGCAUCGAGAACCUCCGUACGGAGUUUGCUUCAAAUGUGGCAAACAAGCCACUGGGCAAGAAACUGCCCUUGCUUCAGCCGCUGACAGUAUGCUGUCCAAACUGGACCAACAGGAUGCAGGAGUUGCCCUGGUCCCAGUGUCUCUUC